rnacentral:rRNA from 1 species
GGCUCAGGAUGAACGCUGGCGGCGUGCUUAACACAUGCAAGUCGAACGCACCUUCGGGUGAGUGGCGGACGGGUGAGUAACGCGUGGGAAUCUGCCCUCAGGAGGGGGAUAACGGCUGGAAACGGCCGCUAAUACCCCAUAUGCCGAGAGGUGAAACGAAUUUCGCCUGAGGAUGAGCCCGCGUCUGAUUAGCUAGUUGGUGGGGUAAUGGCCCACCAAGGCGACGAUCAGUAGCUGGUCUGAGAGGAUGAUCAGCCACACUGGGACUGAGACACGGCCCAGACUCCUACGGGAGGCAGCAGUGGGGAAUUUUCCGCAAUGGGCGAAAGCCUGACGGAGCAACGCCGCGUGAGGGAUGAAGGCCUCUGGGCUGUAAACCUCUUUUCUCAAGGAAGAAGACAUGACGGUACUUGAGGAAUAAGCCACGGCUAAUUCCGUGCCAGCAGCCGCGGUAAUACGGGAGUGGCAAGCGUUAUCCGGAAUUAUUGGGCGUAAAGCGUCCGCAGGCGGCCCUGUAAGUCUGUCGUUAAAGCGUGGAGCUUAACUCCAUUUAAGCGAUGGAAACUACAGGGCUUGAGUGUGGUAGGGGCAGAGGGAAUUCCCGGUGUAGCGGUGAAAUGCGUAGAUAUCGGGAAGAACACCAGUGGCGAAGGCGCUCUGCUGGGCCAUAACUGACGCUCAUGGACGAAAGCCAGGGGAGCGAAAGGGAUUAGAUACCCCUGUAGUCCUGGCCGUAAACGAUGAACACUAGGUGUCGGGGGAAUCGACCCCCUCGGUGUCGUAGCCAACGCGUUAAGUGUUCCGCCUGGGGAGUACGCACGCAAGUGUGAAACUCAAAGGAAUUGACGGGGGCCCGCACAAGCGGUGGAGUAUGUGGUUUAAUUCGAUGCAACGCGAAGAACCUUACCAGGGUUUGACAUCCUGCGAAUCCCUUGGAAACUUGGGAGUGCCUUCGGGAGCGCAGAGACAGGUGGUGCAUGGCUGUCGUCAGCUCGUGUCGUGAGAUGUUGGGUUAGGUCCCGCAACGAGCGCAACCCACGUCUUUAGUUGCCAGCAUUCAGUUGGGCACUCUAGAGAGACCGCCGGUGAUAAACCGGAGGAAGGUGUGGAUGACGUCAAGUCAUCAUGCCCCUUACAUCCUGGGCUACACACGUACUACAAUGCUACGGACAAAGGGCAGCAAGCUCGCGAGAGUUAGCAAAUCCCAUAAACCGUGGCUCAGUUCAGAUCGUAGGCUGCAACUCGCCUACGUGAAGGAGGAAUCGCUAGUAAUCGCAGGUCAGCAUACUGCGGUGAAUACGUUCCCGGGCCUUGUACACACCGCCCGUCACACCAUGGAAGUUGGCCAUGCCCGAAGUCGUUACUCCAACCC